GUCUCUUCGGAGACAUCCAAUAAAAAUGGAAUGACAUAGAAGAUUAGCAUGGCCCCUACGCAAGGAUAACGUGCAUCCAUAGAGCGACGCUGGUUGAU